rnacentral:rRNA from 1 species
AUUGAACGCUGGCGGCAGGCCUAACACAUGCAAGUCGAACGGUAGCACAGAGAGCUUGCUCUUGGGUGACGAGUGGCGGACGGGUGAGUAAUGUCUGGGAAACUGCCCGAUGGAGGGGGAUAACUACUGGAAACGGUAGCUAAUACCGCAUAACGUCUUCGGACCAAAGUGGGGGACCUUCGGGCCUCACACCAUCGGAUGUGCCCAGAUGGGAUUAGCUAGUAGGUGGGGUAAUGGCUCACCUAGGCGACGAUCCCUAGCUGGUCUGAGAGGAUGAACAGCCACACUGGAACUGAGACACGGUCCAGACUCCUACGGGAGGCAGCAGUGGGGAAUAUUGCACAAUGGGCGCAAGCCUGAUGCAGACAUGCCGCGUGUAUGAAGAAGGCCUUCGGGUUGUAAAGUACUUUCAGCGGGGAGGAAGGCGUUAAGGUUAAUAACCUUGGCGAUUGACGUUACCCGCAGAAGAAGCACCGGCUAACUCCGUGCCAGCAGCCGCGGUAA